rnacentral:tRNA from 1 species
GCUCGGGUGGCGGAAUGGUAGACGCAGCGGACUUAAAAUCCGCCGAGUAAAAUCGUACGGGUUCAAGUCCCGUCCCGAGUACCG